CACUUCAAGCCUCCGGUUAGAACCCCCUGUCCUCCAGGCGGCCCUCUCCUGUCCCCAAGCCACCGCACUGUCCUUCUUGUUCCUGCCGGCUAGCUUCCUGCUUUUGUCUCCCAAGGAAGCCAAGCUGGCUCAGGAACCCCGGGGGAUCUGACAUCAGUGGCACCUUGAGAAACACUCCACAGCCCGGCCGGCCUUCCCUCACACCUGGACACCCACCCCUUCCCAUCCUGCUCCACCACAGCUUCAGAAUUCUGCAGAUGCCGAAUUCAAACCCCAAGGAUCAUCUUCCGGCGAGUGCUUCUGUAAAGACACCACCGUCCAGAGCUGGAGGGGACACCGGUGCAGCUGCCCCUAGAGCCCAGGACAACCUCCUUCCUCCUGUACCAGCAAGAGCCAGGAGCCCACGCCCGGCCCUCCACCAGCUGAGCCCGCCAGGCUCUUCAGGGCAACAGUGAGGGCGCUACAGCACUCCAAAUCUCGGCAACUAGACGGGAGGCUGGAUGGCUUCCAGGAGGUGAGAGUUUGCGUGCUGUGAGUCCCAAGUCAAAAUCCUCCCGACCGCCAGCCUCCCCAGGACCGGGUUUCCUCUCUCAUGCACACCAAGCAGCCGGCCACCCCCAGGAGACAGGCUUUGCGGCCAGCAGGCUGGGCUCAGACCCCAGAGCUGCCUAGGGGGUCUCUGAGCAUGUCUCCUACCCUGGCUUCGCUUUAUUCUACUGACUGAGGGUAUCAAUGGCAUCUUAGGCCAGGUGUUACGAGAUUAAAUAAAAUAACAGAGCGUCUGGCUCAGG